AUACGUAGGGGGCGAGCGUUGUCCGGAAUGAUUGGGCGUAAAGGGCGCGUAGGCGGCCCGGUAAGUCUGGAGUGAAAGUCCUGUUUUUAAGAUGGGAAUUGCUUUGGAUACUGUCGGGCUUGAGUGCAGGAGAGGUAAGUGGAAUUCCCAGUGUAGCGGUGAAAUGCGUAGAGAUUGGGAGGAAGACCAGUGGCGAAGGCGACUUACUGGACUGUAACGGACUCUGAGGCGCGAAAGUGUGGGGAGCAAACAGGAUUAUAUACCCUGGUAGUCCACACUGUAAACGGUGAUUGCUAGGUGUAGGGGGUAUCGACCCCUGCUGUGCCGCAGUCAACACAAUAAGCAUUCCGCCUGGGGAGUACGGCCGCAAGGUUGAAACUCAAAUGAAUUGACGGGG
rnacentral:rRNA from 1 species